rnacentral:SRP_RNA from 1 species
UGCGGGUUCUCCCGCAUCGAUACUCUGUGGACUCGGUCAGGCCUGGAAGGGAGCAGCCGCAGCAGACGACUCGAGUGCCGGGGUGUUGCUCGUAGGA